GGGAGGAAGAGGAAAUAGCUCCGGGGGCAUCUCCUCAGCUGCGCGGUGACUGGAACUGGGGGGGACAGCGGUGGCGAUGAGAAAUUGCCUGUUCAGUUGACUGAAAGCAGCAGUACUUUGCUCUGAUUCAAGUUACAUAUAAGGGCCAAUCUACAAUGAUAUUUCCUUUGAGGAUUCUCUACAGGAUCUCCACUAGAACAAACUUCUGAACAACAAAACAUAAAAGAAUGCUAGAUCGAAUACAAGUAUGUUUCACACCGGAAUAUGCUCAGAGAAAUAUUUGAUUUUUUUCCUGUAUUUUUUCCAAUUCUAAACAUAAUCAUAUUUUAACUGUUAUUGUUCUCAAUAGAUUUUCAAAUUCAGUAAUCAGAUCAAUAAUUCCAAAAAGACAUCAUGCCCAAGGAAAGCGGAAGAUCUUUCUCAGAUUCAAAUUUACUAUGAUUUAAAGUUAUAUGGCCAUUAUUCAAUAAAAUGAAUAAUGUUUUAAGUUGAAAUCCUACAAAUUUAAAGCUUUUCUUUUACUUCCUUUUUGCAAGCAUAUUAAUAAAAAAUUCUACCACAUA